AAUAGAGCGAUGAAGAGAACUAGUACAUGGAAGGGGCCUAUAGAGAGCAUUUGUCUGGUGGAAAAAUGUGGCAGGGACUAUGGAAUCCAUCUCGGAGCUUGAUUUUUCUAAGUGAGUAUAGAUGCUAAAAAGGGUGGCACCGCGGAGCUUUUUCGUCCCUUGA
rfam:Peptoniphilus sp. oral taxon 375 str. F0436 noncontiguous_finished_chromosome, whole genome shotgun sequence.